UACGAAGGGGGCUAGCGUUGCUCGGAAUCACUGGGCGUAAAGCGCACGUAGGCGGAUUCUUAAGUCAGAGGUGAAAUCCUGGAGCUCAACUCCAGAACUGCCUUUGAUACUGGGAAUCUUGAGUCCGGAAGAGGUAAGUGGAACUGCGAGUGUAGAGGUGAAAUUCGUAGAUAUUCGCAAGAACACCAGUGGCGAAGGCGGCUUACUGGUCCGGUACUGACGCUGAGGUGCGAAAGCGUGGGGAGCAAACAGG
rnacentral:rRNA from 1 species